rnacentral:rRNA from 1 species
GAUGAACGCUGGCGGCGUGCCUAAUACAUGCAAGUCGAGCGAACAGAUAAGGAGCUUGCUCCUUUGACGUUAGCGGCGGACGGGUGAGUAACACGUGGAUAACCUAUCUAUAAGACUGGGAUAACUCCGGGAAACCGGGGCUAAUGCCGGAUAACAUGUUGAACCGCAUGGUUCUAUAGUGAAAGGCGGCUUUGCUGUCACUUAUAGAUGGAUCCGCGCCGUAUUAGCUAGUUGGUGAGGUAACGGCUUACCAAGGCAACGAUACGUAGCCGACCUGAGAGGGUGAUCGGCCACACUGGAACUGAGACACGGUCCAGACUCCUACGGGAGGCAGCAGUAGGGAAUCUUCCGCAAUGGGCGAAAGCCUGACGGAGCAACGCCGCGUGAGUGAUGAAGGUCUUCGGAUCGUAAAACUCUGUUAUUAGGGAAGAACAAAUGCGUAAGUAACUGUGCGCGUCUUGACGGUACCUAAUCAGAAAGCCACGGCUAACUACGUG